ensembl:lncRNA
AGAGGGGAAGAUUAUCACAUUUACUUUCCCACACAGAAUGAAAACCUGUUGCUUUUCUGCUCCCACUGUACAAGCAGUGUGUGUUUUACAUAUUGGCCUUUUAUGACAAGAUCAUGUCUUGAGUCAUCUGAAUAUACAAAUGCCCUUUCGUACAUGGAAGACCUAUGUAUAACAACACAUAUCUUAUCUCCUAUGCAUAGGGCAAACGCGGCGCAGUGUUGCAGAGAUGUACUCACUUGAGUUAAACACAGCUGUCUGCUGAUUCCACACCAAUACUCCUUCAUGACUCAUUAAUAUUAACAGGGUUUGUUUGCUUGCUGUUCCCACUGGGUGGGCACCCUGGCAGUGUCCAGAGCAGCUCCAGGAAACCCCCCAUACAUCCCAAGGCUGCAUUCCUGCUACCCCAUACAUCCCAAGGCUGCAUCCCUGCUACCCCCAUACACCCCAAGGCUGCAUCCCUGCUCAUGCUCUCCCCCAGCACCAAUGGGGCAGAGGGCAGUCCCAGAGGUGCCAGCAGUGCCCCUUCUCCUGCACCAAACUGGGAUGUGGAGCUGAGCUAAAAGCAGACAGGCACAGGAAUGGUUCACCAGUCUGCUGGGUGCUCACACUCCCCAUUUUUCCCUCCAUUGACUUAUUUGCUCAACUUAAAGGCAGAAAGAAAGAAAAAAAAAAAAAGGAAAAAGAAAAAAGAGAAAGCUAUUCUUGCCAGUUUUCCUGCAGGGACUCUAAUCCUGCUCCUGGUGGCAACAAACCACACAAAAUGCUGAUUCUCAGCAACGAAAAAAGUCUCUCCCUCACAUCCAAUACGUCUGCAGCUUUGAGGUGCUGCUGCAGCCGCCGGCUUCAACAGGGAGGAAUUUAACCUGAAGCUACAAUUCAGAAAUAAAACACCUUCAAUAAACAGCAUGAAAACCCUUCGCAAGCAGCAACCGGUAGUGAUGCUCUGCCCUGAGAGGCGUUGUGUGCCCGGAGUGAGGAGCUGAGGGCUGGGGUGGGCAUGCUGCAUCUCAGCCCUACUGCAAUGAUCCAGGCGCAGUGGUUCCCCAGCUCUCUGCCCCACAUCUCCCUCGCUGCCCACCAACAUAAAGGUCCUCCGCAGGGCUGGGAGAGCAAAGGAGAAACCACCACUCUGCCCUCAUCAAACAGAGCCAACUUAAAAGCACAAGAUCUGCUGCUAAAGCCUUUGAUUCAGCAAGAAAUGUAGCCUUAAGUGUGAAUGAAUAAAUAGCAGCUCAAGAGCCAGAGCUGCCAUUUUCCCUUGUAGAGCCUAAGGGGGAGAUUAGAGCGAGGUCCCAACCUUCCUGGGUUGGAGGCUGUGCCUCCUUCCUGGCCUGAUCCAGCUCCCACCAAAGCCAAUGACACAACCCGUAUGUUCUCCUGUGACAACAAGAUUUGCUUCCAAGAACUUUGGUGUUUCUAUGGUCACCUGGUAAACUGGAGUGCAAGCGGUGCAAGAGCUAAUUAUAAUGGAAGUGAAUAUUUAUGGGCUCUGGGGCCAAGAGGGGCCGCUCCGAUAGUCUAAUCUGAUUUACUGCUUAACAUAUGUCAGAAUAUCGCACCCCUCAGUCCUUCGGUGGAGGGAGUUACUCAUCUUAUCCAUAAUUUAACACUACAGAGUCCAAUCGUGCACUUGAAUUAAAGCUUAUCUUCUAGGAACCCAUCCAAUCUCCACUCGAAGACAGCAAACGAUGGCAAAUUCAUCAUUUCCUUUGUCAAAGUGCUCCAGAGUUUAAUUACUCUCAUUGUUAGGAAGGUGCGUGGCAUUUCCACGCUGUGUUUCUCUGGCUCAGUUUUCCCACUGGGUGUUGGGUCCCCGUUAACCCAAAGCUCCCUCCAUGCCACGUACAUUCUCCAAAGAACAUCACAGGCUCCGCACGUUCACCUUGCUGGAGUAGCAGAGGUGCUGCUCCAUCAGCACUAUUUUGGCAGAAUCAGCGUGUUUGCACACAAUCUGUGUCUCUGUACACAACCUGUGUGUUUACUCAUCCCUGGGAAGCAGCAACACUUUUUAAAUUAACACCACCAAACGAACUUGUAUUUCUAUCUCUGGAAUCUACGAAAUGCUCAGUUCUCACUGCAGAGGUUUCAGAAGAGACAACUGACCACAGUGUGCUGAAUGGAGAAUGAAGGGGUGAGUGUCUUCAAGUGCUGAGGUUGGACCGUACCAAAGCAGCUCACUGUGGGACAGCCCAGGUAGGAGAACCACCAGUCCAUUAAACAGAAGGGCAUAAAAGAACACAGGGCGUCUACGCAUCCCUAUUUCCUUUUUAUGACCAGCGUUAAUAAUAAUGACCAUCCAACGCUUUUCAAUCGCCCUUAUUACUCCAACACCUGCUCUCCUAACCGCUGCAAUCACUGUUAUCCGAGAGAGGCAGUUAAAAUGGUUAAUGGCGCAAAUAAAUGAGUCUUUCAAAUGCCUCUCCCCUCCGUCACCGAUUCCUGAGCAACUCCCAAGCAAUGCAACUCUGCCUUUAAAUUCCCAGCAUAGUGGGCCAAGAGGGCCAUCCUCACCACUGCCAUCACCACGGGGCAGGGACCGCAGUCCUCCCACUCUCAUUCUGGAGAUGCAGAUCCCGGUGACAACCCCAUGCUGCUGCACAGCGCUCUGUCUUUGAUUCCCACUUUGUUAUUUCCCCCCUCACUUUGAAUUCCCUUUAUUUUUAUUUUUUUUGGCGACCUACUUCUCCUUCUUUUCAUAUUUUAUUCUAUUUUAAGAGGCUUUUAUUUUUCUCAAAACUUUCUCUUUUUUUUUUUUUAAGGAAAAUAUGCCAUCUGUGUUUAUACAUUUUUAAAUAUUGUUUAUUCUUGCUUCUGAAGUAACCGUGGCGUAUAAAGGAUUCUCAUCUCGAUUUCCCCUAUUAUGCAACAGCUUUCCUGUUUUUAAACACCGGCAUCUUUUUGAGGUUCAGAUUUAGCACUGAUUCAUUACAUGCCUUGGCAAACCACAGAUAAAGCCCCAACAAAGCGCUCCAUCCAUUGGUGGGCCCAAUCCCUGUAGCCCUACAGGACUGGGGGAGCCCUAUGAUACCCCGCAAUCUAAAAACACCCAAUAUCAAACACAACCUCAAACGAGGCAACAGCAGCACUCGCUGGAGCACCUUAAUAAUGUCUGUGGCUCUCACAGUCAUCAUUCUCCUACUGGACAUGGAUCUCUCCACGCAUAUAAUAGAAGAAGGGAAUUUCAUGACCCCAUCCUGCCCACACC